rnacentral:rRNA from 1 species
CCCUUAGAUGUUCUGGGCAGCACGCGCGCUACAAUGGUCUUCGCAAACGGAUGCAUUCUCGAAGGAGAAUGCCAAUCUUGGAAUCUAUGCCUUGGUCGGGACAGUUGCUUGCAAUUUUUCGACUCGAACCAGGAAUUCCUUGUAAUCGUGAUUCAUCACAUCACGAUGAAUACGUCCCUGCCCUUUGUACACACCGCCCGUCGCUCCUACCGAUCGAAGAGUUAGGUGAAUUGUUUUGAUCGAUAAGAUUUGACUAUGGUCAACUCUUGUUGGGAAAUUCUGUGAAUCUGACUGUUUAGAGGAAGGAAAAGUCGUAACA